rnacentral:lncRNA from 1 species
GGACACCAAUGCCAAGAAGCCAGGGAAGAAAAACUACCAAGGAGAUUGAAAAGGAGAGCCCUGGACUACGAUACCAGGUGGAAAACCAGGACAAUGUGGCAUCCUGACAUCCCAGUGAAGAAAGUGUUUCAAUGAAGUGUCCCACUUCUUCACACUCCAAAGUGUGGCUGGCAAGUGAUAUUAGAUGAGAACAGAGAAUUAACCAUUGGAUUUGGCAUUGCAGGGAGUCAUCGUUGACCUUGGCAAGAGUGGGUUUAGUAGAGUGGGGAGGGGUGAAAGCAUAAUUGGAGUGGGUUUGAGAGAAAAUGGAUAAAUGAAGGAGAAAACAAUUAGCUCGUGGGGAUAAAAGUUUAUGAAGAUAGAAAUGGGUUUCUGAUUUAAAAAAUCAAUCUUGGUGCCAUUAUAAUCCUAUGGGCUCUUGAAAUUACUCUCCACACUGUUUUAUUCUUGUGAAUGCAGUGCAGGUUCUUCAGCUUUGCUGGAGUACGUAUCGACUUUGCUGGGAGCAUGACUUUGUGCAAGGCAUAAAGGUUAUACCUCUGCAGCUCUUCUACUUUGUCUCUGCCAUCUCUGACAACUCAACUCAGGUGUACACUUAAAGCGUUCUGGGAAUAUGAAUCCCUUCUGCACCCUGGAAUCACCAGUCCAGCCAUGCAUGGAGCUGGGGAAAGCAGGCCCUGAAUUGUCUAGAGAGACUUGGUGGAGGAGGCCACGGCCCGCCUUGUCCCUGCCGGGUCCCAGCCAGGUGUGUGUGCCCCAGCUCGACUCUCGGUGGUCUCCAGGCUGCAGCAGAAGGAAUACCUUGAGCAGUGAGGCCUGAGACCCUCAACAGUGCUGUGUGUACAGAAGGCCCCCAGAAUCCACACAAAGGGGCCGCCUGAAACCUAGAGCAUUUGUGAAGGAGGAAAAUGGAAGGUAACUUACUCAUCAGUGCGGUGGUUCUUCAGCGUGGCUGCAUCCGGGGAGCACCUGGGAACUCUCAGAAAUACUCAUGCCUGGGCCCAAUUGGUUUGGGGUGUGUUUGAGCGCUGAGAACUGUCAAAGCUCCCCACCAGGUGAUUCUCAGAUGCAGCCAAAGCCAGAACCUCUGGGCUUUCCUCAGGGGACUUUU